AGUGAACGCUGGCGGCGUGCCUAAUACAUGCAAGUCGAACGAAGUGGCGCACGGGUGAGUAAUAUAUAGUUAAUCUGCCCUACACAGAGGAACAACAGUUGGAAACGACUGCUAAUACCUCAUAGUGUAGGAUGAGACUAUAUCGUAUCAGCUAGUUGGUAAGGUAAUGGCUUACCAAGGGUAUGACGCGUAACUGGUCUGAGAGGAUGAUCAGUCACAUUUGAAAGGAGGCACGGUCCGAACUCCUACGGGAGGGAGCAGUAAGGAAGAGUGCGCAAUGGGGGAAACCCUGACGCAGCAACGGCGCGUGGAGGAUGACACUUGUCGGAGCGUAAACUCCGUUUAUCAGGAAAGCGGUACCUGAGGAAUAAGCACCGGCUAACUCCGUGCCAGCCGCCGCGGUAAUUC
rnacentral:rRNA from 1 species